GCCUACGGGGGGCAGCAGUGGGGAAUAUUGCACAAUGGGGGAAACCCUGAUGCAGCGACGCCGCGUGAGUGAAGAAGUAAUUCGUUACGUAAAGCUCUAUCAGCAGGGAAGAAAAUGACGGUACCUGAAGAAUAAGCUCCGGCUAACUACGUGCCAGCAGCCGCGGUAAUACGUAGGGAGCAAGCGUUAUCCGGAUUUACUGGGUGUAAAGGGCGUGUAGGCGGGCCUGCAAGUCAGAAGUGAAAUCUGGGGGCUUAACCCCCAAACUGCUUUUGAAACUGUGGGUCUUGAGUGUUGGAGAGGCG
rnacentral:rRNA from 1 species